rnacentral:lncRNA from 1 species
CACAAUUUUUAUAUCCACCGCCCCAUCCACUCCUAAUUCAAUGUUGUUUACCCGAUCACACACCAAAAUAACGUGCUAACUGAGCCCAAAAUUGACACGGGGCGGGGGAGAGGGGGUCAAAGUUCGUUAAAAUAAUAGGCAUUAGGGGCAGCUGUUCCAACGCAUUCGAAAAUAAGCGUCUAAAAAUACCCGGCAAAAUCCUGAUAUCAC